rfam:Ferrimicrobium acidiphilum DSM 19497 strain T23 FEAC_contig000005, whole genome shotgun sequence.
AGAGUCCUACGCCGAAGGUCUAGCGCACCACGGUGCUCGCAAGCCGUGCGUCGGCGACCUGUAAGGGCGUGGCCAAGCGUCGGUAGCACUACGUACGGGCCAGCUAUUGAGCCCCGAAAUGGGGUUAGUCCAGGGUGGUGACACUGUCAUGACAAGUGGAAGACAAUAGCGACGGCGACGUUAUUGUGUGACACCGCCGAACCGUGGGUGUCAAAAAACC